GACGAACGCUGGCGGCGUGCCUAAUACAUGCAAGUAGAACGCUGAAGCUUGGUGCUUGCACCGAGCGGAUGAGUUGCGAACGGGUGAGUAACGCGUAGGUAACCUGCCUGGUAGCGGGGGAUAACUAUUGGAAACGAUAGCUAAUACCGCAUAAUUGUAGAUGUUGCAUGACAUUUGCUUAAAAGGUGCAAUUGCAUCACUACCAGAUGGACCUGCGUUGUAUUAGCUAGUUGGUGAGGUAACGGCUCACCAAGGCAACGAUACAUAGCCGACCUGAGAGGGUGAUCGGCCACACUGGGACUGAGACACGGCCCAGACUCCUACGGGAGGCAGCAGUAGGGAAUCUUCGGCAAUGGACGGAAGUCUGACCGAGCAACGCCGCGUGAGUGAAGAAGGUUUUCGGAUCGUAAAGCUCUGUUGUAAGAGAAGAACGAGUGUGAGAGUGGAAAGUUCACACUGUGACGGUAGCUUACCAGAAAGGGACGGCUAACUACGUG
rnacentral:rRNA from 1 species